rnacentral:tRNA from 1 species
GGCAGCACAGCUCAGGGGCAGAGCACAUGCUUAGCAUGCACGAGGUCCUGGGUUCAAUCCCCAGUAACUCCA